CCAUUUUUUUGCAACAUUUUUUGUAACCUGGAAGUUUAGGUAAUCUCAUCUACCAAUAUGGUUAUAUAUCGUAUAGUACUUACGACAUUGUGUAAUAAUAAAGUAAAUGAAGACUGAUGUGAUUACACCACUCAAACAUGAUAAAAAAAAGUGAUUACGGAAAAAGUGGGUGUGGUUCGUAGCCAAUGAGAAAGGGAAGGUCCGUGACGUCAGCAUUAAAAUUGUAUUCGAAUUUUUAUGGUUUGUUUUAAUGAUUACGGAAAAACAGAGAGGUUUUACCUAAUAAUUGAACUUUGUAAUAACACAUUUUAUUGUUAAAAAGUGAUAAAACUUAUUUAAACAGUAAUUCUGAAUGUACUGUAAAGGUCCAUUGUUUUUCUUUGAGAGUUGUUUUGUAAUUUUGUCAUUGUUAUCAAAUAUAUGUUUUUCAUUACUGAA